CACAAAUGUAAACAUAACAGUUUCUCUGAAACUGUUAUGUUUACAUGUGAAGGGUUAAAACCUGAGGGACCUGGCACCCAGACCACUUCACUGAGGUGAACUGGUCUGGGUGACUAUAGUGUCCCUUUAACAGUGAACAUACUUGUUAUGAUAUAAAGGUUCUCUGGUCCCCAUUCUAGCUUAUAUUACCAUGAGGAUCCCUUGUGCUUGGUUGCUGCUUCUAAGUG